rnacentral:lncRNA from 1 species
AUUUAUCAAGACUAGCCUGCUGGGAAUAAUAUCCCCCACACCUUUGCUUCCGUGCAAUAUUUUCCAAGAAAUCAAAAAACAAUUGCCAUACGAGUGGGAGAAAAAGAAUAUGCCCCCUUGAGAGACACGUCUAGAGAAAGCGAUUGGUUGCAGUGGAGAUUGGGAGAUGUUGAGCUGCUAUGACUAUGAUGCUAAGCCAACCAUCAUGAACUCUUGUUUGUAAGUUGCAACCACCGUUUUCAAGUUUCAAACAACUAGACACAGCACGAGGCGAAGACCCAUGACUCUUUGAAGGGAGCCCUUGUCCAUACUUUGAAGCCAAAGAAGAAUUUAUAGGUUUAAUAUGGUUGUGUAUUCUUUCUCUUGCAUGUAUUUCUUUGUCAUGGGGACCAUGUUAGCUAGGCUGAAAGGGGAUUAUUUGAUAAAG